rnacentral:rRNA from 1 species
AGAGUUUGAUCAUGGCUCAGGAUGAACGCUAGCGGCAGGCUUAAUACAUGCAAGUCGAGGGGCAGCACGGGUAGCAAUACCUGGUGGCGACCGGCGCACGGGUGCGUGACACGUAUGCAACCUACCUUUAAACUGGGGAAUAGCCCCUUGAAAGAGGGAUUUAAUACCCCAUAACACUGUGAGAAGGCAUCUUUUUACAGUUAAAGUUCCGACGGUUUUUAGAUGGGCAUGCGCGACAUUAGCUUGUUGGUGAGGUAACGGCUCACCAAGGCUGUGAUGUCUAGGGGUUCUGAGAGGAAAAUCCCCCACACUGGUACUGAGACACGGACCAGACUCCUACGGGAGGCAGCAGUAAGGAAUAUUGGUCAAUGGGCGCAAGCCUGAACCAGCCAUGCCGCGUGCAGGAUGACGGCCCUAUGGGUUGUAAACUGCUUUUGUACGGGAAAAACCCUCGGUCGUGAAUCGAGGUUGAUGGUACCGUAAGAAUAAGGAUCGGCUAACUCCGUG